rnacentral:rRNA from 1 species
CGAAAGCCUGACCCAGCGACGCCGCGUGCGGGAUGAAGGCCUUCGGGUUGUAAACCGCUUUCAGCAGGGAAGAAGCGAAAGUGACGGUACCUGAAGAAGAAGCACCGGCUAACUAUGUGCCAGCAGCCGCGGUAAUACAUAGGGUGCAAGCGUUGUCCGGAAUUAUUGGGCGUAAAGAGCUCGUAGGUGGUUCGUUACGUCGGAUGUGAAAACCUGAGGCUCAACCUCAGGCCUGCAUUCGAUACGGGCGAACUUGAGUGUGGUAGGGGAGGCUGGAAUUCCUGGUGUAGCGGUGGAAUGCGCAGAUAUCAGGAGGAACACCAAUGGCGAAGGCAGGCCUCUGGGCCACUACUGACACUGAGGAGCGAAAGCGUGGGGAGCAAACAGGAUDAGAUACCCUGGUAGUCCACGCUGUAAACGGUGGGCACUAGUUGUGGGAACCUUCCACGGUUUCUGCGACGUAGCAAACGCAUUAAGUG